rnacentral:rRNA from 1 species
GACGAACGCUGGCGGCGUGCUUAACACAUGCAAGUCGAACGGAAAGGCCCUGCUUUUGUGGGGUGCUCGAGUUGCGAACUGGUGAGUAACACGUGAGUAACCUGCCCUUGACUUUGGGAUAACUUCAUGAAACUGGGUCUAAUACCGGAUAGGAGCUCCUGCUGCAUGGUGGGGGUUGGAAGGUUUCGGCGGUUGGGGAUGGACUCGCGUCUUAUCAGCUUGUUGGUUGGGUAGUGGCUUACCAAGGCUUUGACGGGUAGCCGGCCUGAGAGGGUGACCGGACAAAUUGGGAUUGAGAUGAGGCCCAGACUCCUACGGGAGGGAGCAGUGGGGAAUAGUGCACUAUGGGCGGAAGCCUGAUGCAGCAAAGCAGCGUGGGGGAUGACGGCAAUCGGGUUGUAAACCGAUUUCGCCUGUGACGAAGCGUGAAUGACAGUAAUGGGUAAAGAAGCACCGGCUAACUACGUG